rnacentral:rRNA from 1 species
GUGGGAAACGAUGUGGGAAGGCCCAGACAGCCAGGAUGUUGGCUUAGAAGCAGCCAUCAUUUAAAGAAAGCGUAAUAGCUCACUGGUCGAGUCGGCCUGCGCGGAAGAUGUAACGGGGCUAAACCAUGCACCGAAGCUGCGGCAGCGAACGUAUCACCCAAGACAACUUUACGGAGUUGACGAUUGACGGAGCGAAGCGACGUCAAAGCGUUCAUUAAAGUCGAGUUGGCUUAGGGAUACGUUCGUUGGGUAGGGGAGCGUUCUGUAAGCCUGUGAAGGUGGCCUGUGAGGGUUGCUGGAGGUAUCAGAAGUGCGAAUGCUGACAUAAGUAACGAUAAUGCGGGUGAAAAACCCGCACGCCGGAAGACCAAGGGUUCCUGUCCAACGUUAAUCGGGGCAGGGUGAGUCGACCCCUAAGGCGAGGCCGAAAGGCGUAGUCGAUGGGAAACAGGUUAAUAUUCCUGUACUUGGUGUUACUGCGAAGGGGGGACGGAGAAGGCUAUGUUAGCCGGGCGACGGUUGUCCCGGUUUAAGCAUGUAGGCGGAGGUUCCAGGUAAAUCCGGUACCUUAUUAACGCUGAGGUGUGAUGACGAGGCACUACGGUGCUGAAG